rnacentral:lncRNA from 1 species
GUCUGUGCUCUCGAGUUUGGCUCCUCUAUUCCAAUCCAGCUGCUCCCUGAUCAACAAAUCCUUCCUGCUUCUCUUUUUCUUUUUUUGUACUGUGGAUUGAAUCCAGGGGCCUUAACCACUGAGCCACACCCCCAAGCCUUUUUAUUUUUUUUAUUUUGAGCCAGGGUCUCGCUAAUUUGCUUAGGGCCACACUAAGUUGCUGAGGUUGGCUUUGAACUUGUGAUCCUCCUACGUCAGCCUCCUGAGUCUCUGGGAUUACAGCCGUGCGCCAUCCGCCAUCCACCGGACCUCUCCUGUCCUUCAAACGUCUAUUUUCAAAUACCACCGCCUUCGACUUCCCUCUGCAUCCUCUUAAUCAGUUGCCACUCUCCACCUUGUUCUGGAGCUUCUGCAGAAGUGCCCCUCUUGCCAGCCAGACAUUGUGUUCCCAAGGAUUGAAGUCAAGUUGGAAAUCAGUUCUGACCACCUAACCAUGCCCUAUGCUAAACUUUGGGACCUUGUUUUGUUUACUAUUUCAUUUCUGUUGCCUGGAAAGAACAGUACCUGGCACGUAACAGGUACUCAAUGUGAGUUAUUACUGAUUUUCUUUUAAAUUGAUGUGUGUUAAUAAAUAAACAUGUAGGGCUGGGGAUGUGGCUCAAGCGGUAGCGCACUCGCCUAGCAUGCGUGCGGCCCGGGUUCGAUCCUCAGCACCACAUACAAACAAAGAUGUUGUGUCCGCC